UUGUGUGUGAUGGUAAAGUGUAUUGCACAAUGUUGACUGGAUAGAGUGUACAGAUAGUAACCUCACGGUUGCUCAAUUUAUUAUGAAAAUUUCAAAAAGACACUUGUGAAGAGAAAUAAAAUCUCUGAAUAGCAAUUGAAUUGGAUUCCAGAAUCUGAUUUCAAUGGGCAUGUCCUCCUGUCCUGAUGGACAGUUCCAGUGUAUUGAUUCUCAAGUCUGUGUUUCCAUGGAGCAAGUGUGUGAUUUCCACACCAACUGUUCAGAUGGAUCAGAUGAAGCGUUUUGUGGCUCUUGUGACUUUGAGAUGGAAAACAUCAGUACUAUGAGAAAGACACUUUGA
ensembl:lncRNA